rnacentral:lncRNA from 1 species
UACUAUAGAUAACGACGAUACAAGUUGCAGACUGAAGGUAUUAUUAUUAUUGAGAUGAAGUUUUAAUGCAUACAUGUGUGCCUGCAUGCCUACACGUUCGUUCAGUCAAGUGUGUAUCAGGAUCAAAACAAUAUUAUCAAUUUAACUACGUUGCACUUAGGAGUUGAAUCAUUAGAAUACGUUUCGUUAUUUUUUUUUGUUUGUUUACUGCAUGAUUAAUUAAUUAAUUAAUGAAGAUUGAAUGCAAAAGUUAAUGUAUGAGCUAUGAUUAUAAUCUGUAGUAAUAUCCAUCUUUUCCUACAACGACCAAUGUUUUGGUAGGGAUUGAGUCAUGAUUAGUGCUGGAAUGGUCUGAAAAAAGUAAAAAGACUGCAAUGCAAUCAGUUCGGCCCUAAUAAAAUGUCUCCAUCCACAUUUCAUCAAAAAAAUUGACGUUGGAAUAAAUAUCUGACCAAAACUAUUGUGGAAAUCCCUUCUUAAAUCCCUAAACUUCAUUUUCGCCGAAUAUCUAUUUCAAAAACAUUUCCUUCUUACAAAAUUAUCAAGGAUCAUCUCAUUUUCAUGAAAUCUAACUCUACUGCGAUUUUGAAGAAAAUCGAAUAGGUACGGUAACAUGCCCGUGAUGAUUUGAUGUGGAUUUACACUGAAUAAGCGGAACUUUGGUAUUUUUAUACACGGUGAAUUUUUCAUUGUUUUUCUCUUUAAAUAACUUUUCAUUGAAAAGUUUUAAGCGAAUAGCAAAAUUUAAUUAAUUAUAAAUAAAUGUAAUUUUCUAAUUAUGUAUGAUUAGUACAUUAAGAAAAUAUAUGUAGGAAUUAGAAAAA